GGGGGUUGUUCUAUAUGGUGGGAAAAGAAGAAAAUAUAACUGAUGAUGAGCUAGGGGAGGAGAAUGAAUGUUGUAAUGGUGGUGAGGGUAAUCGAUCCAAUGUAUAGCUAUAUAUAGAGGGAGGGAGAGAUGUAGAUGAUGAGACGAAUAGUGGUUAAAUAGAAUCAAGAAUAAUAGUAAUAGUAACAGUAACAGUAAUAAUGUACAUAUAUGUUGAUGUUGGAGAUCGAGAGUGGCGAGUGUUAUGGGGUCGUCUUGGGGGAGUGUCGAUAGGGAGACAAGAAAUGAAAUGAGAUUAUUUCUCAUUGGACAACAUUACAUAACAUAAUGUCCUUUACCAUAAAAAUAGCAUCUCAACUGAUCACAUUACGUACCAUCAAAAGAUUAUAUGAUCAGGUCAUAACAAUUUGAAUAUUUAGGAAUCCUAUCAUGUGAAUUUAAUCUUCGUUCAGUUAAUCUAAUUUAAUUUAUAAUAUGGAUCUGAUAAUUCCUAACUAUAUAUAUAUA
rnacentral:lncRNA from 1 species